UGUUUCGGCUAGGGGGCCAUCCCGGCUUACCAACCCGAUGCAAACUGCGAAUACCGGAGAAUGUUAUCACGGGAGACACACGGCGGGUGCUAACGUCCGUCGUGAAGAGGGAAACAACCCAGACCGCCAGCUAAGGUCCCAAAGUCAUGGUUAAGUGGGAAACGAUGUGGGAAGGCCCAGACAGCCAGGAUGUUGGCUUAGAAGCAGCCAUCAUUUAAAGAAAGCGUAAUAGCUCACUGGUCGAGUCGGCCUGCGCGGAAGAUGUAACGGGGCUAAACCAU
rnacentral:rRNA from 101 species